UACGGAGGGAGCUAGCGUUGUUCGAAAUUACUGGGCGUAAAGCGCACGUAGGCGGCUAUUCAAGUCAGAGGUGAAAGCCCAGGGCUCAACCCUGGAACUGCCUUUGAAACUAGAUAGCUAGAAUUCUGGAGAGGUCAGUGGAAUUCCGAGUGUAGAGGUGAAAUUCGUAGAUAUUCGGAAGAACACCAGUGGCGAAGGCGACUGACUGGACAGAUAUUGACGCUGAGGCACGAAAGUGUGGGGAUCAAACAGG
rnacentral:rRNA from 1 species